AGAAAUAGCUCAAUGGGUCCAUCGACGGGGAUCGAUCCUAGACCGACCGCGCAUCAAGCGAAUGCUAUCACUAGGUUACGUCCCGUUACCAGUUCCAGAAAGACUCCUCCGUACGAGUCGAAUGGUUACGCAAGACCAAAGAAAGCAUACGAUGGCUGUACCCUUACUCAACCCGUCCUAAGAAAUGCAAAAGUGUUUCUUCUGUUUUCUAUGUUUCUGAAUGACAUUUGAUGAUAGUUUAUUUUCACGAAGUCGCGACGGUUAAAUGGGAUUUACUUUGCGACACGUUAUUAAUAACUGUAAACGCAGCGGGAAACCCGCGAUGCAUCUACAUAACCAUUUGCCAGCGUGCUCAAGUUUCUGUUUCUGCAACAGCUGAAUGUGGCUUUAAUGUUAUAGCUAUAAUGCUCCUGCCGAUUCAACGAGUCCUUUUGGAGGCAUUUGCUGCCCAUUCAAGAUGCUCCAUCAACUUUGCGUCCGGUAUUCUAGCUUGGAGCGAAGUGUCAUCAGCUACGGCCAACUCCUGUAUGCACAGUGUAAAUAAAAGCAGUAAUUUACGACAAGCCUUCGGUAUCCGGGAAAGCUGCCUUUCAACUGGAAGUGGAUAUGGUUGAUCUGGAGAUGGACGCUGAUUUGGUGGUGGCAUCUGUGAAAUGCAGAGUGAAAUCCCAUUACACAGUGGUAGUACAUGUCAAAACAAUUGUGGUUAAUAGCCUCUAUUAGAAAUUUGCGAGAAAAGAUAGCCAGAGUUACGUCCGCCUAACCACUUCCGGCGCAUUCCAAUUAAAGCAAGAAUAGCUGAUGACCACAGUUGUUUGUUCAUUUUCAGCUGAGAUUUAUGCAUGCCAGUCCGUGGCAUCAUAAAUGUCCCCACCUAUGUUUCAAAAAUAAAGAAUGAUACAGGUAAAAAUUAA